rnacentral:misc_RNA from 1 species
GAUGAAGAACGUAGCGAAAUGCGAUAAGUAAUGUGAAUUGCAGAAUUCAGUGAAUCAUCGAGUCUUUGAACGCACAUUGCGCCCCCUGGUAUUCCGGGGGGCAUGCCUGUCCGAGCGUCAUUGCUGCCCUCAAGCACGGCUUGUGUGUUGGGCCUCCGUCCUCCUCCCGGGGGACGGGCCCGAAAGGCAGCGGCGGCACCGCGUCCGGUCCUCGAGCGUAUGGGGCUUCGUCACCCGCUCUUGUAGGCCCGGCCGGCGCUUGCCGACACAUCAAUCUUUUUUCCAGGUUGACCUCGGAUCAGGUAGGGAUACCCGCUGAACUUAAGCAUAUCAAUAAGCCAGAGGA